UUCAAUGGUGAUUCAGGCGGGGGAGACUCACGUCUCGCCGGAAGUUGAUCCCGGUCUGCUAACCCUGCUUGAAUCACCACCAUC
rnacentral:antisense_RNA from 1 species